GGACCCUUAGCUCAGUUGGUUAGAGCAUCCGACUCAUAAUCGGCAGGUCCAAGGUUCAAGUCCUUGAGGGUCCA
rnacentral:tRNA from 2 species